UCCUGUGUGGCUCAGUCGGUUAAGCAUCUGACUUUGGCUCAGGUCAUGAUCUCACAGUUUGUGAGUUUGAGCCCCACCUUGGGAU
rnacentral:tRNA from 1 species